CCUACGGGUGGCUGCAGUGAGGAAUAUUGGUCAAUGCGCGCGAGCCUGAACCAGCCAAGUCGCGUGAGGGAUGACGGUCCUACGGAUUGUAAACCUCUUUUGCCGGGGAGCAAGCGUGCGUUCGUGAACGCGCGUCGAGAGUACCCGGAGAAAAAGCAUCGGCUAACUCCGUGCCAGCAGCCGCGGUCAUACGGAGGAUGCGAGUGUUAUCCGGAUUUAUUGGGUUUAAAGGGUGCGUAGGCGGGAUGCCAAGUCAGCGGUAAAAAUGCGGUGCUCAACCUCGCUCCGCCGUUGAAACUGGCGUUCUUGAGUGGGCGAGAAGGAUGCGGAAUGCGUGGUGUAGCGGUGAAAUGCAUAGAUAUCACGCAGAACUCCGAUUGCGAAGGCAGCAAACCGGCGCCCAACUGACGCUGAAGUACGAAAGCGUGGGUAUCGAACAGGAUUAGAUACCCGAGUAGUC
rnacentral:rRNA from 1 species